CACAAAAGCCCUUUUUGGCCAAUUAUUAGUAAUUUUCACUUAUAAAGAAACUUGAAGGUUAAGGAGCUUGUUUAAAGACACCCAGCAAUGGAGCAGUUGAGUCAGUUCAGUUCAGGUUAAGGCUCACUUCUCUUCAAGCCGCAACUGCCUGGCCCUGAGCCUGAGUCCCCACUCCCCACACCACACACCUCAUACCCAGGAACCUGCCACAUGUGCUGAGUGAGUCUGUGGGUGGGGUGAGUUGUUUUGGAAAGUAGUCUCGGCUGUUGUUCCCAUGGAAGAUCACAGUGAGCUCAGCUUGUUGACAAAUGUUGGGUUCCCACUGACCUGGCAGCUUUUUAUGGGGCAGAAUUUGCUGAAACUCAUAGAAGAGAAGGAAGGAGAAGAAAGCAGACAGUUUAUCUAACCCAGAUCUUGAAAAGGAAAGACAGGCAGCAUUGUGCCCUGGGGAAGCAUGCAGACUGGGGACAAUGUAGGCCUGGCACCCGCCUGGAAAGACUGCCCACACAGAGCCAAAGAUGCCCCAGGAGUCUGCAAAGGCAAAUGGAUCAGGUGCCUUCCAGCCAAAGGCCACAGCCAGAGAAAGCCAGAAUGCUGCAAGAAUCAGAAGGAGAGAAAGUUCUGGCUAGAGGCUUGGGGAAACCCAUAUAAAGAAGAAACACUGGGCAUGAGAAGACCUAAAAGCAAUCAUAGCAGCAGGUAACUUAUAUAAAGA
rnacentral:lncRNA from 1 species